ACUGUCCGGUUGGGGUGUCCCGCUCAUCUGCGGGGCUGAGAGCAAACCCAUCGAACCUGCUCCAGUUCACACUGGCGAAGGGAAAUCGGAUUCCUGAAGAA
rnacentral:ncRNA from 2 species